rnacentral:lncRNA from 1 species
UAAAGGAAACUAUAAAGCAUCUAGCAUCUACUCGCCGUCUUCUUGUGGAUUAGGCUCAGGAACCUGGUCCUCCUGAUCUAAAAUGGUUAAAUAAGGAAUGAGCUACACUAACUCAGUAAGGACAUCACACUAUAUCCUUGUCACAGAAGCAAAGGUUAGUAGAAAACUGAAAAAAACCAAUGGAGCACAAAUUUUAAACCAAUUCAAUUAUUUAAAAUAAAAUCACUUACCUUUUUUU